rnacentral:lncRNA from 1 species
UAUGAAUCAUUCAUUAUUUAUUAGUUUAUUCAAUAAAUACUGAAUACUUAGUAGGUACAAGAAAUGCACUGCUGUGGUUUCUCUUUCAUUUGAGAGAUUUGCUUGGUUUAAUAGAAGUCCCACCCUUCCUAUAUAACAAAUCUUAGCAUAGCAAAAAAUGAGGUCAUGACACUGAGUUCUCCCUCUAUUAAACCACAGGCUCCACGAGUAAAGACUGUGAAGGAGGAGCAGUGAGAUUAAUCUUUUCUUUUGGAAUCUGCAGAAGCCACUUCUGCUGCAUGAUUAGACAAGUGAGUUUUUUCUCUAACCUUUCUCCAAAUAGUUUCUACACUCCACAGUUUGUGGAUUUUCAAUAGGCAAGGGAUGGGGGUGCAAACUCAUAACUGUAAAGUCUGACAGGAAACAUGUAUGAAAGAAAAUAUGAAACAUCAUGAAAACCUGAGGAAAAAGAAAUCCUUUGAUCUAGUGAAGUCUUUAGUAACCAUAUUUCAAGAACUCUAAUACUGUGCAGACUUCUAAUGAACGGCCUUCUGGCAAUUCUUAAAUCUAGAGCUUUGGUUUUGUUGUUGUUGUUGUUGUUAAUCCACAUACCCCAGUCUCCACAAGAUUCCAUGCAGGCUUAAAACAAUAAUCCUUAAACAAUGCUAUGAAAGAUUAUGCAGUCAUGAGAAAAUGAGGUCUGGCAGCGUGUAGCUUACUCCAACAGGGCUUUCCCUUUAUUAUAAUUAAAUAGCCUCUGUCCUAUCUGUCUGUCCAUUCUCACACUGAAGGUUCCUUUUACUUGUGAAAUGACUGCUGCAAAAUAGAGGCCGAGUCCAGAGGCCUCAUCACUCAGUCUCCUCUGAGAUGACAAGAACUGUUUUUUCAUCUACCUCUGGUGUCUGUGCAGAUAAUUGGGGUACCCUCCUUCUCCUGCCUUUGGACAUCAGAACUCCAGGUUCUCCAGUCUUUGGACUCCAGGACUUGCACAAACACCCACAGGUUCUCAGGCCUUCUGCCUUGGAAUGGGAGCUACACCACUGGCUUCCCUGGCUCUCCAGCUUGCAGAGGGCAUAUUGUGUAACUCCUCAGCUUACAUAA